rnacentral:rRNA from 1 species
GCAAGUCGAACGAACUCUGGUAUUGAUUGGUGCUUGCAUCAUGAUUUACAUUUGAGUGAGUGGCGAACUGGUGAGUAACACGUGGGAAACCUGCCCAGAAGCGGGGGAUAACACCUGGAAACAGAUGCUAAUACCGCAUAACAACUUGGACCGCAUGGUCCGAGUUUGAAAGAUGGCUUCGGCUAUCACUUUUGGAUGGUCCCGCGGCGUAUUAGCUAGAUGGUGAGGUAACGGCUCACCAUGGCAAUGAUACGUAGCCGACCUGAGAGGGUAAUCGGCCACAUUGGGACUGAGACACGGCCCAAACUCCUACGGGAGGCAGCAGUAGGGAAUCUUCCACAAUGGACGAAAGUCUGAUGGAGCAACGCCGCGUGAGUGAAGAAGGGUUUCGGCUCGUAAAACUCUGUUGUUAAAGAAGAACAUAUCUGAGAGUAACUGUUCAGGUAUUGACGGUAUUUAACCAGAAAGCCACGGCUAACUACGUGCCAGCAGCCGCGGUAAUACGUAGGUGGCAAGCGUUGUCCGGAUUUAUUGGGCGUAAAGCGAGCGCAGGCGGUUUUUUAAGUCUGAUGUGAAAGCCUUCGGCUCAACCGAAGAAGUGCAUCGGAAACUGGGAAACUUGAGUGCAGAAGAGGACAGUGGAACUCCAUGUGUAGCGGUGAAAUGCGUAGAUAUAUGGAAGAACACCAGUGGCGAAGGCGGCUGUCUGGUCUGUAACUGACGCUGAGGCUCGAAAGUAUGGGUAGCAAACAGGAUUAGAUACCCUGGUAGUCCAUACCGUAAACGAUGAAUGCUAAGUGUUGGAGGGUUUCCGCCCUUCAGUGCUGCAGCUAACGCAUUAAGCAUUCCGCCUGGGGAGUACGGCCGCAAGGCUGAAACUCAAAGGAAUUGACGGGGGCCCGCACAAGCGGUGGAGCAUGUGGUUUAAUUCGAAGCUACGCGAAGAACCUUACCAGGUCUUGACAUACUAUGCAAAUCUAAGAGAUUAGACGUUCCCUUCGGGGACAUGGAUACAGGUGGUGCAUGGUUGUCGUCAGCUCGUGUCGUGAGAUGUUGGGUUAAGUCCCGCAACGAGCGCAACCCUUAUUAUCAGUUGCCAGCAUUAAGUUGGGCACUCUGGUGAGACUGCCGGUGACAAACCGGAGGAAGGUGGGGAUGACGUCAAAUCAUCAUGCCCCUUAUGACCUGGGCUACACACGUGCUACAAUGGAUGGUACAACGAGUUGCGAACUCGCGAGAGUAAGCUAAUCUCUUAAAGCCAUUCUCAGUUCGGAUUGUAGGCUGCAACUCGCCUACAUGAAGUCGGAAUCGCUAGUAAUCGCGGAUCAGCAUGCCGCGGUGAAUACGUUCCCGGGCCUUGUACACACCGCCCGUCACACCAUGAGAGUUUGUAACACCCAAAGUCGGUGGGGUAACCUUUUAGGAACCAG